AUUGAACGCUGGCGGCAGGCCUAACACAUGCAAGUCGAACGAGUGGCGGACGGGUGAGUAAUGUAUGGGUAACUGCCUGAUGGAGGGGGAUAACUACUGGAAACGGUCGCUAAUACCGCAUACCAUCCGAUGAACCCAUCUGGGAUGAGCUGGUAGGUGGGGUAACGGCUCACCUAGGCGAUGAUCCCUAGCUGGUCUGAGAGGAUGAUCAGCAACACUGGAACUGAGACACGGCCCAGACCCCUACGGGAGGCAGCAGUGGGGAAUAUUGCACAAUGGGGGAAAGCCUGAUGCAGCCAUGCCGGGGGGAUGAGGAAGGCCUUCGGGUUGUAAAGUACUUUCAGCGGGGAGGCGUUACCGGAAGAAGAAGCACCGGCUAACUCCGUGCCAGCAGCCGCGGUAAUUC
rnacentral:rRNA from 1 species